rnacentral:rRNA from 1 species
AUUGAACGCUGGCGGAAUUCUUUACACAUGCAAGUCGAACGGCAGCACGGACUUCGGUCUGGUGGCGAGUGGCGAACGGGUGAGUAAUAUAUCGGAACGUAUCCAAUAAUGGGGGAUAACUAAUCGAAAGGUUGGCUAAUACCGCAUACGUCCUACGGGAGAAAGCUAGGGACCUUCGGGCCUGGCGUUAAUGGAGCGGCCGAUAUCGGAUUAGCUAGUUGGUGAGGUAAAGGCUCACCAAGGCGACGAUCCGUAGCUGGUCUGAGAGGACGACCAGCCACACUGGAACUGAGACACGGUCCAGACUCCUACGGGAGGCAGCAGUGGGGAAUUCUGGACAAUGGGCGAAAGCCUGAUCCAGCCAUUCCGCGUGAGUGAAGAAGGCCUUCGGGUUGUAAAGCUCUUUCGCAAGAGAAGAAAACUUACCCUCUAACAUAGGGUGAGGUUGACGGUAUCUUGAUAAGAAGCACCGGCUAACUACGUGCCAGCCGCCGCCGUAA